CCAGCUUCUCGCGCCUGGCUGCUACUAAGGAAGGAAGAGGACGUGAUAUUGAGCGAGCCUGGCCAGCACGUGCUUCCCAACGUUCGUCGAGCAGCAGCUUCUAGCACAGCUCGGCGUUCCCCGCAAUUCGCCAUGGAGGAAUCAAUGAUGUCCGAAGCGCCCCAGUCAGAGAUGUCAUCCAUGAGUGGU